rnacentral:rRNA from 1 species
UCCUACGGGGGGCAGCAGUGAGGAAUAUUGGUCAAUGGUCGGGAGACUGAACCAGCCAAGCCGCGUGAGGGAGGAAGGUACAGAGUAUCGUAAACCUUUUUUCUCAGGGACGAAGCAAGUGACGGUACCUGAGGAAUAAGCCACGGCUAACUACGUGCCAGCAGCCGCGGUAAUACGUAGGUGACAAGCGUUAUCCGGAUUUACUGGGUGUAAAGGGCGUGUAGGCGGGACUGCAAGUCAGAUGUGAAAACCACGGGCUCAACCUGUGGCCUGCAUUUGAAACUGUAGUUCU